CUAAUUUUUUGAGAAGGACCUGUAUAUGGAUUUGAUAAAAAAAAAAUCUGUUCUUAUCAGUUUAAUAUCUGAUAUGUCCCCUAUCUGGGGACUACAUAUUAAAUUGAUUUUUGGAUCACGGAGCUGGAGCCGGGGCUUGCUCUGUUCACUCCACGCAUCGGCCUGGUAUUGCAGUGUCUCCAGGAACAGUGUGCAUCCC
ensembl:snRNA U2 U2 spliceosomal RNA